UAGCAAACAGUACAUAUUGCAGUAGCACGAAUCCAAGGAGAGGCUCGAUGAAACUGGCAAAGGUCGCGCAUCGCCGGUAUUUAUUCUUAUUCGCUAUUUCCGACCGGCAAGGCAAUCUUGAAUUAUAUUGCGACGUCAAUCGGAGCAAGAAUUUGCCGAUGACUAUUUAUAUGUCUGUGCGCACAUAUUGUACAGAUAUAUGAACCGCCUAAAAUCAAUAGCUACUCUGUGAAGGUCCCUUCAGAGCAUUUCGCACGGGACAAAUCUCAACUGCGAUUUUAACAACUUCAACGAAAUCGUUCGAUCAAUCUAAAAUGAAUUUUUCCUAAAACUAACUUGUCACCAGUAGUUUUCAAAUGACAAAGGAGAUUUCAAAGUGAAAACAUUUCUAUAAACUAAUUUUCAGAGCAUAAAUAAAUAACGAUACUCUAUUGUUCAUUUAAAUCCAGAUGUAUUCGAUUUCGAAAUCAGAAUUUUAAUCCUUUCGCGCUUAAAAUCAAGUUUCUUGACGCUACUAGAAAGUUUCAGCACAAUAAUGGUCUCUCGUAAAAGCUUUUUCCAAGGAAAAAUUAAUGUUGGAUUUUUCGGAAAAUAUCUCUACGAUUAUAUAAAGCUACAGUCACAUAUUUGUACUCGCAAAUAUUUCAAUCAACAGUGUAGAAAACAGUGGAGAAUGCAAGAGGCAGGCAAUAAAAAUUUCUCGGUAA